GUCAGAUACCUCGCUUGCAUAUUAAAUAUCCUCUUAAGUUUGGCUUCUAACUAUAUAUAGGCAGGAUUAGCGACUCACGCCUUGGAUAAUCGUCAAAAUGAUGCUCAAAAGAGCUGUUUGCGUUCUUUUUGCCUCCGUGUUAAUCUCUUUGGUGAGUUCAGAAGGGUGUGGUGAAGUCGCUUGCCUAGCCAUCUACUCCCCAAUUUGCGCACAGGGCGCUGACAAAAUCUGGAAACACUAUAACAACGAAUGUGAAUUCAAUAGCUGUGGAGGAGCAACCACGUUCGAGUUGUCAUGUGCCACUACAGUCACUAAUGCCGCGGACUGCUUCUGUUAGCGCAAGGCGCUAUGGAUAACGUACCACGCCUAUAUGACGUUUCCGUGCCUGAAGGAAGUUCAAAUACCGGUCUACUCAGUUCAUCAAUAAAACAAAUGCCUAUGUC